rnacentral:rRNA from 1 species
GAUGAACGCUAGCGGCAGGCUUAACACAUGCAAGUCGAGGGGCAGCAUGACACGGAGAUUCGUCGAAGUGUUGAUGGCGACCGGCGCAAGGGUGCGUAACGCGUGAGCAACUUGCCCGUUUCAGGGGAAUAACCGGUGGAAACGCCGACUAAUACCCCAUGGCAUCGUGAUGAGGCAUCUCAUUGCGAUUAAAGAAUUUCGGAAACGGAUAGGCUCGCGUGACAUUAGCUUGAUGGCGGGGUAACGGCCCACCAUGGCGACGAUGUCUAGGGGUUCUGAGAGGAAGGUCCCCCACACUGGAACUGAGACACGGUCCAGACUCCUACGGGAGGCAGCAGUGAGGAAUAUUGGUCAAUGGUCUGACGACUGAACCAGCCAUGCCGCGUGAAGGUGACGGCCCUAUGGGUCUUAAACUUCUUUUGUAAGGGAGCAAUAAGGGUUACGUGUAGAUUGAUGAGAGUACCUAACGAAUAAGCAUCGGCUAACUCCGU